CCUAAGCCUGAGAUGUGAUGCCGAGCCGAUUGUGGUGAAGUGGAUGAUCCUAUGCUGCCGAGAAAAGCCUCUAGUGAGUGUUGUGGCGGCCCGUACCCUAAACCGACUCAGGUCAGGUAGAGAAUACCAAGGCGAUCGGGUGAACUGUGGUUAAGGAACUCGGCAAAUUGCCCCCGUAACUUCGGGGUAAGGGGGACCUCUGUUGGUGAUGGGCUUUACGCCUGGAGCUGGUGGGGGUCGCAGUGGCCAGGGGGAAGCGACUGUUUACUAAAAACACAGGUCCGUGCGAAGUCGUAAGACGAUGUAUACGGACUGACGCCUGCCCGGUGCCGGAACGUUAAGGGUACCGCUUAGCUGACGUGAGUUGGCGAAGGUGAGAACUUAAGCGCCGGUAAACGGCGGUGGUAACUAUAACCAUCCUAAGGUAGCGAAAUUCCUUGUCGGGUAAGUUCCGACCUGCACGAAUGGCGUAACGACUUCCCCGCUGUCUCAACCGCAGACCCGGCGAAAUUGCACUACGAGUAAAGAUGCUCGUUUCGCGCAGCAGGACGGAAAGACCCCGGGACCUUCACUACAGCUUGACAUUGGCGUUUGGAACGUCUUGUGUAGGAUAGGUGGGAGACUGGGAAGCUGUCACGCUAGUGAUGGUGGAGUCAUUGGUGAAAUACCACUCUGGUCGUUUUGAACGUCUAACUCUGGUCCGUGAUCCGGAUCGGGGACAGUGUCUGGUGGGUAGUUUAACUGGGGCGGUUGCCUCCUAAAGAGUAACGGAGGCGCCCAAAGGUUCCCUCAGCCUGGUUGGCAAUCAGGUGUUGAGUGUAAGUGCACAAGGGAGCUUGACUGUGAGACUGACAGGUCGAGCAGGAGCGAAAGCUGGGACUAGUGAUCCGGCAUCGGCGUGUGGAAGCGGUGUCGCUCAACGGCUAAAAGGUACCCCGGGGAUAACAGGCUGAUCUUCCCCAAGAGUCCAUAUCGACGGGAUGGUUUGGCACCUCGAUGUCGGCUCGUCGCAUCCUGGGGCUGGAGUAAGUCCCAAGGGUUGGGCUGUUCGCCCAUUAAAGCGGUACGCGAGCUGGGUUUAGAACGUCGCGAGACAGUUCGGUCCCUAUCCGCUGCGCGCGCAGGAGACUUGAAGGGGGCUGUCCCUAGUACGAGAGGACCGGGACGGACGAACCUCUGGUGUGCCAGUUGUACCGCCAGGUGCACGGCUGGUUGGCUACGUUCGGAAGGGAUAACCGCUGAAAGCAUCUAAGCGGGAAGCUCGCCUUGAGAUGAGGUCUCCCACCACGAGAGUGGGUAAGGCUCCCGGUAGACGACCGGGUUGAUAGGCCGGAGGUGGAAGCACGGUAACGUGUGGAGCUGACCGGUACUAAUAGGCCGAGGACUUGACCU
rnacentral:rRNA from 1 species